GUCAGAAUGGCCGAGUGGUCUAAGGCGCCAGACUCAAGUUCUGGUCUCCAUAAAAUGGAGGCGUGGGUUCAAAUCCCACUUCUGACA